GAUGAAUUAAGAACGGCGGGCAUCGUAUAAUGGCUAUUACCUUAGCCUUCCAAGCUAAUGACGCGGGUUCGAUUC
rnacentral:tRNA from 1 species